UACGUAGGGUCCGAGCGUUGUCCGGAAUUAUUGGGCGUAAAGAGCGUGUAGGCGGCUGGGUAGGUCCGCUGUGAAAACUCGAGGCUUAACCUCGAGACGUCGGUGGAAACCAUCCAGCUAGAGUCCGGAAGAGGAGAGUGGAAUUCCUGGUGUAGCGGUGAAAUGCGCAGAUAUCAGGAAGAACACCCGUGGCGAAAGCGGCUCUCUGGGACGGUACUGACGCUGAGACGCGAAAGCGUGGGGAGCGAACAGG
rnacentral:rRNA from 1 species